GAUAGUGGCGACGGGUGAGUAACACGUGGGCAAUCUGCCCUGCACUCUGGGACAAGCCCUGGAAACGGGGUCUAAUACCGGAUAUGACCAUCUUGGGCAUCCUUGAUGGUGUAAAGCUCCGGCGGUGCAGGAUGAGCCCGCGGCCUAUCAGCUUGUUGGUGAGGUAAUGGCUCACCAAGGCGACGACGGGUAGCCGGCCUGAGAGGGCGACCGGCCACACUGGGACUGAGACACGGCCCAGACUCCUACGGGAGGCAGCAGUGGGGAAUAUUGCACAAUGGGCGAAAGCCUGAUGCAGCGACGCCGCGUGAGGGAUGACGGCCUUCGGGUUGUAAACCUCUUUCAGCAGGGAAGAAGCGAAAGUGACGGUACCUGCAGAAGAAGCGCCGGCUAACUACGUGCCAGCAGCCGCGGUAAUACGUAGGGCGCGAGCGUUGUCCGGAAUUAUUGGGCGUAAAGAGCUCGUAGGCGGCUUGUCACGUCGGUUGUGAAAGCCCGGGGCUUAACCCCGGGUCUGCAGUCGAUACGGGCAGGCUAGAGUUCGGUAGGGGAGAUCGGAAUUCCUGGUGUAGCGGUGAAAUGCGCAGAUAUCAGGAGGAACACCGGUGGCGAAGGCGGAUCUCUGGGCCGAUACUGACGCUGAGGAGCGAAAGCGUGGGGAGCGAACAGGAUUAGAUACCCUGGUAGUCCACGCCGUAAACGGUGGGCACUAGGUGUGGGCAACAUUCCACGUUGUCCGUGCCGCAGCUAACGCAUUAAGUGCCCCGCCUGGGGAGUACGGCCGCAAGGCUAAACUCAAAGGAAUUGACGGGGGCC
rnacentral:rRNA from 1 species